AUGGGGUUCAGGAAGGGCCUGCUGGCGUGCUUCGGCCCGGGCGGCGGCGGCGACGAGGAGGCGGAGCAAGAGGCGCGGGCGACGCCGGGGGCGCGGCGGCGGCGCACGGUGAUGAACCUGCGGUCGCUGUCGCUGGAGGACCUGUCGCGGACGCUGGCCACGACGACCCUGCACGCCUUCACCCUCGACGAGCUCAAGUCCGUCACCAAGAACUUCUCCACCGCCAACUUCCUCGGCGAGGGCGGCUUCGGCCCCGUCUACAAGGGCUGCGUCGGCGGCGCCCUCCGCCCCGGCCUCGCCGCGCAGCAGGUCGCCGUCAAGUACCUCGACCUCGACAGCGACGGCGUCCAGGGCCACCGCGAGUGGCUGGCGGAGGUGGUGUAUCUGGGGAUGCUGAGCCACCCGCACCUGGUGAAGCUGCUGGGGUUCUGCAACCAGGACGACCACCGCAUGCUCGUCUACGAGUACAUGCCCCGGGGCAGCCUCGAGAACCACCUCUUCAACAAUCCGCUGGCGCCGCUGCCAUGGUCGACGCGGCUCAAGAUCGCCGUGGGCGCGGCCAAGGGGCUGGCCUUCCUGCACGAGGCCGACACCCCCGUCAUCUACCGCGACUUCAAGGCCUCCAACAUCCUGCUCGACUCGGACUACGCGGCGAAGCUGUCGGACUUCGGGCUGGCCAAGGAGGGGCCCAAGGGGGACGACACGCACGUGACGACGCGGGUGAUGGGCACGCACGGCUACGCGGCGCCGGAGUACAUCCUCACGGGCCACCUCACGGCCAAGAGCGACGUCUACAGCUUCGGGGUGGUGCUCCUGGAGCUGCUCACGGGCCGGCGCUCCGUCGACAAGCGGCGGCGCGGCCGGGAGCAGAACCUCGUCGACUGGGCGCGGCCCUACCUGCGCCGCGCCGACGACCGGCUGCAGCGCGUCAUGGACCCCGGCAUGGAGUCGCAGUACUCCACGCGGGCGGCGCGCGGGGCCGCGGCCGUGGCGCACUCGUGCCUGCAGAGCGUGCCCAAGGCGCGGCCCCGGAUGCGCGACGUCGUCGACGCCCUCGAGCCGCUGCUCGCGCUCGACGACGACGUGCCCAUGGGGCCAUUCGUGUUCACGGUCUGCGAGCCGGAGCCGGCGGGCAAGGGGAGCGGCGCCGGGGACGACGAGCCGGCGGCCGCGCAGGGCAAGUGGCACGUCAAGUCGGCCGUGCACGCGGACAGCCCGCUGCGCAAGGGCGACUGCUGGGUCACCAGCGCCGCCAAACGGCCGGAGAGCCCCCCGGGCGUGAUCUGA
rnacentral:rRNA from 1 species